rnacentral:rRNA from 1 species
UCGAACGGGCGUAGCAAUACGUCAGUGGCGGACGGGUGAGUAACACGUGGGAAUAUGCCUUUCGGUUCGGAACAACUCGGGGAAACUCGUGCUAAUUCCGGAUACGCCCUUACGGGGAAAGAUUUAUCGCCGAAAGAUUAGCCCGCGUUGGAUUAGCUAGUUGGUGAGGUAAUGGCCCACCAAGGCAACGAUCCAUAGCUGGUUUGAGAGAACGACCAGCCACACUGGGACUGAGACACGGCCCAG